UACGUAGGGGGCAAGCGUUGUCCGGAAUUACUGGGCGUAAAGCGUGCGUAGGCGGUCCGCGAAGUCUGAUGUGAAAGCCCCGGGCUCAACCUGGGAACUGCAUUGGAAACUAACGGGCUCGAGUGUGGCAGAGGGGGGUGGGAAUUCCACGUGUAGCAGUGAAAUGCGUAGAGAUGUGGAGGAACACCGAUGGCGAAGGCAGCCCCCUGGGCUAACACUGACGCUCAGGCACGAAAGCGUGGGGAGCAAACAGG
rnacentral:rRNA from 1 species